AAGAACCUGAAACCGUGUACGUACAAGCAGUGGGAGCCCUGAUUUAUCAGGGUGACUGCGUACCUUUUGUAUAAUGGGUCAGCGACUUAUAUUCUGUAGCAAGGUUAACCGAAUAGGGGAGCCGGAGGGAAACCGAGUCUUAACUGGGCGUUAAGUUGCAGGGUAUAGACCCGAAACCCGGUGAUCUAGCCAUGGGCAGGUUGAAGGUUGGGUAACACUAACUGGAGGACCGAACCGACUAAUGUUGAAAAAUUAGCGGAUGACUUGUGGCUGGGGGUGAAAGGCCAAUCAAACCGGGAGAUAGCUGGUUCUCCCCGAAAGCUAUUUAGGUAGCGCCUCGUGAAUUCAUCUCCGGGGGUAGAGCACUGUUUCGGCAAGGGGGUCAUCCCGACUUACCAACCCGAUGCAAACUGCGAAUACCGGAGAAUGUUAUCACGGGAGACACACGGCGGGUGCUAACGUCCGUCGUGAAGAGGGAAACAACCCAGACCGCCAGCUAAGGUCCCAAAGUCAUGGUUAAGUGGGAAACGAUGUGGGAAGGCCCAGACAGCCAGGAUGUUGGCUUAGAAGCAGCCAUCAUUUAAAGAAAGCGUAAUAGCUCACUGGUCGAGUCGGCCUGCGCGGAAGAUGUAACGGGGCUAAACCAUGCAC
rnacentral:rRNA from 1 species